AAUGCAACUUAGUUUAUUUAGAACAGUUAACCUGCACUUAACAAGAGAGGCACCUCAGUGGC
rnacentral:tRNA from 1 species